UUUCCCCUAUCACUCAGGCACUGGCAGGGUCCUUGGCCCACUCCUGUUGGCCGCCGCGGCUCCAAAGCGAGCUGGGCAGAUGUGCCUGAGACAGGUUUGACCAGGCAACUGAAAAGACAUCCCUAAGGGAAGACAAAGCAAAGGUAUGAAAGGAACACACGUCCCUGACUGACUAGGAGGAACAGAGCUGCCUGCUGUCUGGAACCGCUUCCUCCCAGACUAAGUGAGAAAUAAACUUCUGUUUUCUAUAUG
rnacentral:lncRNA from 1 species